CAUCCGUUUUUUCCGGAUGACACCGGAAAGACGGAUCCGGCAUUUCAAUGCAUUUUUCAGACUUAUCAGGAUCCUAAUCAGUCUUACAAAGGCCAUCAGUUGGCAUACGUUUUGCCGGAUCUGGCAGGCAGUUCCGGCGACAGAACGUCUUGCCGGAUCACUCUGCCGCAAGUGUGAAAGUAGCCUAAGGCACAUUUUUAUUGAUAUUGAU